UAUAUACCAAUGGUGCAUUAUUCUAGUCAUACAACUUUACGAGGGUGGGGCUAAAAAUCCACUAAAGAGCACAUCGUUGAAGUUUCUUAGUAUUGCGCGAAAUGCCAGUUUUGUGUGGUACUAGGGAGUAAAGAGAUUAGGGUAUUAUAUAAUGGCAUAUAUGAAACUCCCUGAUUUCGUGGAGGCUUAAAUAAAGCAAGUAAAUAUAAAUGUAGGAAUACAAAAUCUAUAUUAUAUAUUUAUGAAGCGAUAUUUAAGUAUAACCUAUGUUGAGUGCCAAGACACAAAAUACAUAGCGUAGCUUGUCUUGAGUGAAUGUAUUGGGAUUAAUACAAAAAGAAUAAAUUUAUUUGGCCAAAUAAAUUUAUUUUAUAUUAUGAAAUUAUAUUUGCAAAAAAGACUAGUAAAGAGUAUUGUAUGUUAAGGAAAACUUCUAGAAUGUUUGCUUACAGGAAGCAAGAAAGUUUAAGGAUUAAGGUACAGAUUUAAGUGGCGAUCUGGUGUCUAUUGUAAUAUAUAGAUGUUCUUCUUAAACGGAAACGGUUCUAACAGUAAUGUUAAGCGAAGAAUAGAGAAAUUCAACCAGACCUAAACUGUAAAAUUUACUUAGGCUUUUACCAUUAAAAACAAU
rnacentral:sRNA from 1 species